rnacentral:rRNA from 1 species
CCCUUAGAUGUUCUGGGCUGCACGCGCGCUACACUGAUGCAUCCAGCGAGUUGUAACCUUGCUUGGUAAAGUUUGGUAAUCUGAGCCUAAUGUGCAUCGUGAUGGGAAUAGAGUUUUGCAACUAUUAGUCUUGAACGAGGAAUUCCUCGUAAGCACGAGUCAUCAGCUUGUGCUGAUUACGUCCCUGCCCUUUGUACACACCGCCCGUCGCUGCCCGGGACUGAGCCGUUUCGAGAAAAGCGGGGACUGCUGCUGUCGGGGCUUUCGGGCCUUGGCUUCGGUGGAAACCGCUUUAAUCGCAGUGGCUUGAACCGGGCAAAANUCGUANCA